ACCAGCAGGUUGUGGGUUCGAUCCCUGGUCAGGCCACACGCCUGGGUAGCAGGUUCAGUAUCCGCUCGGGCGGAAAUCGUGUGACCAGCGGUUUAUGGAUAUGUCCCCUGGUGCCUUCUGGGAGCUGGCGUCUGCUAAGGCUCUGCAGAGUCAUCAGGUUGGACGUUCCCUGCAUGUUUGCUGUGAACCCGGCCUGCACUGGACACACAUGGAUCGCCUUGGGUAACCUCACCACCACCCUCUGAGACACAGCUCCCAGGCUCACUGGUGUGCUCCUGCCCGAUGGCCGUCCUCCAGGCCCCCCUGAGCCCGGUGCCCUGGGAACUGGAUGGUGUCCUGCGGGUGAAGGUGGAGG